CUACAUAAACCCAGUCAUAAAUAACCUCACACUCUUACAGAACACACCGUCACAGCAGAUUGACGGGACGGCUUGAGCUUUCCAACUAUUCUCCAAAGAGCCCGACAGGUUCUCUGUGGUUCCAUAGCUCUUCUUGGGUGCCAUGGCAAUCUCGCUGUUGAGCUCCGUCUCUUCGGCCAGCUCGUCUUUGUCGAUGAUGCCGAUCUUAUCGUCGCUGGUGCUCUCCGGGUCGGCCCAGUCCUGCUUGUCGCCCGAGGCAAAGAUAGCAUAGAAGAUGACCCCCGUGUAGUGCACCAUGGCGGCAAUCACAAACACGUUUUGCCACUCCAGACGGGUCUACAGAGGGGGAAAGACUUGAGUCAGUGACCAAACUGUCACACUUGUCUGAUAUAACGUUUGAUUUGAUUGACAAUGUUAUAAAAUCAGUAUCUCAUUGUGUCAUUCACCAGUCGUGUUACUCGUGUCCUAUACGGUAUACAUAUUAGGAAGUCCCUCAGGGGGAGUUUCGUCUGACAUCUAAGGGACUUCCUAAUAUUGAUGCCGUAGUCUUAUCCUGGCUCAUUUUUCUGUUAGAAUUUGUCUGUAAUGUUGAAUGUUACAAUACCUUGUGUUUAGUCAGUGCUCCAACGAUAAGGGGGCACACCAUUCCAGACAGUGUGCCAACGCCAUUGGAGAUGCCCAUUAGGAUACUGGCAUAGCGAGGGGCAAUGUCCAAGUGGUUUACGUUGAACCCUGGGGAUACAGUAACAAGUACAGUCCAUCAGAGUAAAUUGGUUAUGCCACUGUCAAAUUAUCUUUGGGUAAUUAAAAAGGACUACAUGAAAUCCCA